GGAUGUGAGGGUGAUCUGGCUGUGACAUCUGUCACCCCCCUGAUUGCCAGGGUUGACUCAGACAUAGUUGGCUAGGCAGGUGUCCUCUUCUCCCUCACUGCUCCUUGUGCAUCCUCCUGAAGCUGCAGAAAGCUGUGCACACUCUGCUGCACUCUAUGCUUCCACCUAGGAUAAAGGAGCAUUUUUUCCUCAGUCAAAGAUAUGUGAGCAGUUUUGCUCCCCUCCUCCCCAAACAAGCUCUCAAGAAGUCAGAAUGUGGUUGCAUUUGCAAGGACUGUAACCUCUACAGGAAGGUAGCAUGGGGGAACUUUCU
ensembl:misc_RNA 7SK 7SK RNA